GAGGGGGCAAGCGUUGUUCGGAAUUACUGGGCGUAAAGGGCGCGUAGGCGGCCUGUUAAGUCGAACGUGAAAUCCCCGGGCUCAACCCGGGAACUGCGUCCGAUACUGGCAGGCUCGAAUCCGGGAGAGGGAUGUGGAAUUCCAGGUGUAGCGGUGAAAUGCGUAGAUAUCUGGAGGAACACCGGUGGCGAAGGCGGCAUCCUGGACCGGUAUUGAUGCUGAGGCGCGAAAGCCAGGGGAGCAAACGGGAUUAGAUACCCCGGUAGUCCUGGCCCUAAACGAUGAAUGCUUGGUGUGGCGGGUAUCGAUCCCUGCCGUGCCGAAGCCAACGCAUUAAGCAUUCCGCCUGGGGAGUACGGUCGCAAGGCUG
rnacentral:rRNA from 1 species